rnacentral:misc_RNA from 1 species
AGCAGCCGCGGUAAUUCCAGCUCCAAUAGCGUAUAUUAAAGUUGUUGCAGUUAAAAAGCUCGUAGUUGAAUUUCGGGAUUGACACAUCGGUCGUGCCUUAAGGGGUAUGAACUGGUGUAGUCAAUUUCUCACCUUCUGGAGAACCGCGAUGCCCUUAAUUGGGUGUCGCGGGGAACCAGGACCUUUACUUUGAAAAAAUUUAGAGUGUUUAAAGCAGGCAUUUUGCUUGAAUACAUUAGCAUGGAAUAAUAAAAUAGGACGGCAUGAUUCUAUUUUGUUGGUUUCUAGGAUCACCGUAAUGAUUAAUAGGGAUAGUUGGGGGGCAUUAGUAUUCAAUUGUCAGAGGUGAAAUUCUUGGAUUUAUUGAAGACUAACUACUGCGAAAGCAUUUGCCAAGGAUGUUUUCAUUAAUCAAGAACGAAAGUUAGGGGAUCGAAGACGAUCAGAUACCGUCGUAGUCUUAACCAUAAACUAUGCCGACUAGGAAUCAGACGAUGUUAAUUUUUUAAUGACUCGUUUG